rnacentral:rRNA from 1 species
AGAGUUUGAUCCUGGCUCAGGAUGAACUCUAGCGGCAGGCUUAACACAUGCAAGUCGAGGGGCAGCGGGGAGGAAGCUUGCUUUCUCCGCCGGCGACCGGCGCACGGGUGAGUAACACGUAUGCAACCUGCCCCUGUCAGGGGGACAACCCGCCGAAAGGCGGGCUAAACCCGCGUACAUGCCACCGGGGCAUCCCGGAGGCAGGAAAGGCUUCGGCCGGACAGGGAUGGGCAUGCGGCGCAUUAGGCAGUAGGCGGGGUAACGGCCCACCUAACCGACGAUGCGUAGGGGUUCUGAGAGGAAGGUCCCCCACACUGGUACUGAGACACGGACCAGACUCCUACGGGAGGCAGCAGUGAGGAAUAUUGGUCAAUGGUCGGGAGACUGAACCAGCCAAGCCGCGUGAGGGAGGAAGGUACAGAGUAUCGUAAACCUCUUUUGUCAGGGAACAAAGGCGGGGACGUGUCCCCGGAUGAGUGUACCUGAAGAAAAAGCAUCGGCUAACUCCGUGCCAGCAGCCGCGGUAAUACGGAGGAUGCAAGCGUUAUCCGGAUUUAUUGGGUUUAAAGGGUGCGCAGGCGGUCUGUUAAGUCAGCGGUCAAAGCCCGGGGCUCAACCCCGGCCCGCCGUUGAAACUGGCAGUCUCGAGUUGGAGAGGAGUAUGCGGAAUGCGCGGUGUAGCGGUGAAAUGCAUAGAUAUCGCGCAGAACUCCGAUUGCGAAGGCAGCAUGCCGGCUCCACACUGACGCUGAGGCACGAAAGCGUGGGUAUCGAACAGGAUUAGAUACCCUGGUAGUCCACGCAGUAAACGAUGAAUGCUGGCUGUCCGGGGGGACUGACCCCUGGGUGGCGAAGCGAAAGCGAUAAGCAUUCCACCUGGGGAGUACGCCGGCAACGGUGAAACUCAAAGGAAUUGACGGGGGCCCGCACAAGCGGAGGAACAUGUGGUUUAAUUCGAUGAUACGCGAGGAACCUUACCCGGGCUCAAACGGGGAGUGACUCAGGCAGAGACGCCUGUUUCCCACGGGACACUCCCCGAGGUGCUGCAUGGUUGUCGUCAGCUCGUGCCGUGAGGUGUCGGCUUAAGUGCCAUAACGAGCGCAACCCCCGCGUGCAGUUGCUAACAGAUAACGCUGAGGACUCUGCACGGACUGCCGGCGCAAGCCGCGAGGAAGGCGGGGAUGACGUCAAAUCAGCACGGCCCUUACGUCCGGGGCGACACACGUGUUACAAUGGGUGGUACAGCGGGAAGCCAGGCGGCGACGCCGAGCGGAACCCGAAAUCCACUCUCAGUUCGGAUCGGAGUCUGCAACCCGACUCCGUGAAGCUGGAUUCGCUAGUAAUCGCGCAUCAGCCAUGGCGCGGUGAAUACGUUCCCGGGCCUUGCACUCACCGCCCGUCA